GACGAACGCUGGCGGCGUGCUUAACACAUGCAAGUCGAACGAAGAGCGAUGGAAGCUUGCUUCUAUCAAUCUUAGUGGCGAACGGGUGAGUAACGCGUAAUCAACCUGCCCUUCAGAGGGGGACAACAGUUGGAAACGACUGCUAAUACCGCAUACGAUCUAAUCUCGGCAUCGAGGAUAGAUGAAGGGUGGCCUCUACAUGUAAGCUAUCACUGAAGGAGGGGAUUGCGUCUGAUUAGCUAGCUGGAGGGGUAACGGCCCACCAAGGCGAUGAUCAGUAGCCGGUCUGAGAGGAUGAACGGCCACAUUGGGACUGAGACACGGCCCAGACUCCUACGGGAGGCAGCAGUGGGGAAUCUUCCGCAAUGGACGAAAGUCUGACGGAGCAACGCCGCGUGAGUGAUGACGGCCUUCGGGUUGUAAAGCUCUGUUAAUCGGGACGAAAGGCCUUCUUGCGAAUAGUGAGAAGGAUUGACGGUACCGGAAUAGAAAGCCACGGCUAACUACGUG
rnacentral:rRNA from 1 species